rnacentral:rRNA from 1 species
UACGGCGGUCAUAGCGGUGGGGAAACGCCCGGUCCCAUUCCGAACCCGGAAGCUAAGCCUGCCAGCGC